rnacentral:rRNA from 1 species
UACGAAGGGGGCUAGUGUUGUUCGGAAUUACUGGGCGUAAAGGGCGCGUAGGCGGUGCCUCAAGUCAGGCGUGAAAGCCCUGGGCUCAACCUGGGAAUGGCGGUGGAUACUGAGGAGCUAGAGUGCGGUAGAGGAGGGUGGAAUUCCCGGUGUAGCGGUGAAAUGCGUAGAGAUCGGGAGGAACAUCAGUGGCGAAGGCGGCCCUCUGGACCAGCACUGACGCUGAGGCACGAAAGCGUGGGGAGCGAACAGG